GGAAAGCCUGGCCGGCAGGACUUAACACAUGUCAAGUUUCGGGGCGGUGUCACACGUGAAGCUUGCUUUCUGGGUGACGAGCGGCGGACGGGUGAGUAAUGUCUGGGAAACUGCCUGAUGGAGGGGGAUAACUACUGGAAACGGUAACUAAUACCGCAUAACGUUUCAUGAACAAAAAAGGGGGACCUUCAGGCCUUUUGCAUCAUAAUGUGCCCAGAUGGGAUUAGCUAGUAGGUGGGGUACUGUCUUAGCUACGCGAUUAUCCCCCAGGUGGUCUGCCCAAGCUGGUCUGAGAGGAUGACCAGCCACACUGGAACUGAGACACGGUCCAGACUCNUACGGGAGGCAGCAGUGGGGAAUAUUGCACAAUGGGCGCAAGCCUGAUGCAGCCAUGCCGCGUGUGUAAAGAAGGCCUUCGGGUUGUAAAGCACUUUCAGCGAGGAGGAAGGUGGUGAGCUUAAUACGCUCAUCAAUUGACGUUACUCGCAGAAGAAGCACCGGCUAACUCCGUGCCAGCAGCCGCGGUAAUACGGAGGGUGCAAGCGUUAAUCGGAAUUACUGGGCGUAAAGCGCACGCAGGCGGUUUGUGAAGUCAGAUGUGAAAUCCCCGGGCUCAACCUGGGAACUGCAUUUGAAACUGGCAAGCUAGAGUCUCGUAAAGGGGGGUANAAUUC
rnacentral:rRNA from 1 species